rnacentral:rRNA from 1 species
UACGUAGGGGGCAAGCGUUGUCCGGAAUCAUUGGGCGUAAAGCGCGUGUAGGCGGUCCGGUAAGUCGGCUGUGAAAGUCCAGGGCUCAACCCUGGGAUGCCGGUCGAUACUGCCGGACUAGAGUUCGGAAGAGGCGAGUGGAAUUCCCGGUGUAGCGGUGAAAUGCGCAGAUAUCGGGAGGAACACCAAUGGCGAAGGCAGCUCGCUGGGACGUUACUG